rnacentral:rRNA from 1 species
UACAGAGGGGGCAAGCGUUAUUCGGAAUUAUUGGGUGUAAAGGGCGCGUAGGCGGCCAUUCAAGUGACGGGUGAAAGCCCUCGGCUUAACCGAGGAACUGCCUGUCAGACUGGAUGGCUUGAGACCGGGAGAGGUGAGUGGAAUUCCCAGUGUAGCGGUGAAAUGCGUAGAUAUUGGGAGGAACACCAGUGGCGAAGGCGGCUCACUGGACCGGAACUGACGCUGAGGCGCGAAAGCGUGGGGAGCAAACAGG